ACCUCUGCAAUAGGCGAAAGCUUGACAGGGUUACUCUGAGUGACUUUCGCUAAGAAAGUCUUUUGGCACCUCUAAAAAUGGUGCAGAAUAAGGGGUGGGCAAGUCUGGUGUCAGCCGCCGCGGUAAUACCAGCACCCCGAGUGGUCGGGACGAUUAUUGGGCCUAAAGCAUCCGUAGCCGGCCUUACAAGUCCCCCGUUAAAUCCAACUGCUUAACAGAUGGGCUGCGGAGGAUACUAUAAGACUAGGAGGCAGGAGAGGCAAGCGGUACUCAGUGGGUAGGGGUAAAAUCCGUUGAUCCAUUGAAGACCACCAGUGGCGAAGGCGGCUUGCCAGAAUGCGCUCGACGGUGAGGGAUGAAAGCUGGGGGAGCAAACCGGAUUAGAUACCCGGGUAGUCCCAGCUGUAAACGAUGCAGACUCGGUGAUGGACUAGCUUAAUGCUAGUCCAGUGCCGCAGGGAAGCCGUUAAGUCUGCCGCCUGGGUAGUACGGUCGCAAGACUGAAACUUAA
rnacentral:rRNA from 1 species